GGUUAAGCGACUAAGCGUACACGGUGGAUGCCCUGGCAGUCAGAGGCGAUGAAGGACGUGCUAAUCUGCGAUAAGCGUCGGUAAGGUGAUAUGAACCGUUAUAACCGGCGAUUUCCGAAUGGGGAAACCCAGUGUGAUUCGUCACACUAUCAUUAACUGAAUCCAUAGGUUAAUGAGGCGAACCGGGGGAACUGAAACAUCUAAGUACCCCGAGGAAAAGAAAUCAACCGAGAUUCCCCCAGUAGCGGCGAGCGAACGGGGAGCAGCCCAGAGCCUGAAUCAGUGUGUGUGUUAGUGGAAGCGUCUGGAAAGGCGCGCGAUACAGGGUGACAGCCCCGUACACAAAAAUGCACAUAUUGUGAGCUCGAUGAGUAGGGCGGGACACGUGGUAUCCUGUCUGAAUAUGGGGGGCCCAUCCUCCAAGGCUAAAUACUCCUGACUGACCGAUAGUGAACCAGUACCGUGAGGGAAAGGCGAAAAGAACCCCGGCGAGGGGAGUGAAAAAGAACCUGAAACCGUGUACGUACAAGCAGUGGGAGCACGCUUAGGCGUGUGACUGCGUACCUUUUGUAUAAUGGGUCAGCGACUUAUAUUCUGUAGCAAGGUUAACCGAAUAGGGGAGCCGAAGGGAAACCGAGUCUUAACUGGGCGUUAAGUUGCAGGGUAUAGACCCGAAACCCGGUGAUCUAGCCAUGGGCAGGUUGAAGGUUGGGUAACACUAACUGGAGGACCGAACCGACUAAUGUUGAAAAAUUAGCGGAUGACUUGUGGCUGGGGGUGAAAGGCCAAUCAAACCGGGAGAUAGCUGGUUCUCCCCGAAAGCUAUUUAGGUAGCGCCUCGUGAAUUCAUCUCCGGGGGUAG
rnacentral:rRNA from 1 species